CAAUCGCGGCUCUGUCAUUGGGGAGUAGCCAUCCUUUGUCCCCAAAGGAGUUAGCGUCAACAGACUUGGUGGUUCAGGGCCGCGUAGCGGUUGCUAGAACUCCAUGGCGCUAACGGUUUCCAUGCAAGCAGCCUGCCCGCCGCAUGGAUCAGCCAGGCGAGACC
rnacentral:sRNA from 2 species